rnacentral:rRNA from 1 species
CCUACGGGGUGCAGCAGUGGGGAAUAUUGGGCAAUGGGCGCAAGCCUGAACCAGCAACGCCGCGUGAAGGAAGAAGGCUUUCGGGUUGUAAACUUCUUUUCUGAGGGACGAAGAAAGUGACGGUACCUCCGGAAUAAGCCACGGCUAACUACGUGCCAGCAGCCGCGGUAAUACGUAGGUGGCAAGCGUUAUCCGGAUUUAUUGGGUGUAAAGGGCGUGUAGGCGGGAAAGCAAGUCAGAUGUGAAAACUCAGGGCUCAACCCUGAGCCUGCAUUUGAAACUGUUUUUCUUGAGUGCUGGAGAGGCAAUCGGAAUUCCGUGUGUAGCGGUGAAAUGCGUAGAUAUACGGAGGAACACCAGUGGCGAAGGCGGAUUGCUGGACAGUAACUGACGCUGAGGCGCGAAAGCGUGGGGAGCAAACAGGAUUAGAUACCCGAGUAGUG